rnacentral:tRNA from 1 species
GGGCCUAUAGCUCAGCUGGUUUAGAGCGCACGCCUGAUAAGCGUGAGGUCGAUGGUUCGAGUCCAUUUAGNNNAGGUCGAUGGUUCGAGUCCAUUUAGGCCCA